ACCCGCAAGUGCCGUUGACAGAGUGCAGGCGGGAAGCUACGGCUUGGGUAGAGAUGUAGCAUCGAACUUUUACGGAUGUCCAGGCAGCACGGGCACACAGGCUGCUGGCCAGAGGUUCUGGGAAGGUACAGGCGGGAGCCCGACGAGGACGCACCUUACUCUGUCUUGGAAAGGGGACUGCUCACAGUGCUGCUGGACUCUUUAAGUCCUGAGGUCAUGUGAACAGAAGUUUGCCAUGGGCCCAUCUGUCUUCCAUUGGCUGUCCACAAGAUGGAGAAGGCGGAAGCAACCUGAGGAGUCCUCUUUGUCUGUAAGGAUAGAGGGUCCAUUGUGGAAGGGAGAGAUACAGGAACUAUAUAGGCGAGGCCCUACGGGCCCUGCAUCUCUUAUCUCCAGAAUUCUUUUACAGAAAAGAAAAAAAAUAAACUUUUAUCUUAAGCCA